rnacentral:rRNA from 1 species
UACGGAAGGGGCUAGCGUUGUUCGGAAUCACUGGGCGUAAAGCGCGCGUAGGCGGCCGGUCAAGUGCGGCGUGAAAGUCCUGGGCUCAACCUGGGGACGGCGCUGCGGACUGUCCGGCUGGAGUCCGGAAGAGGGUGGUGGAAUUCCGAGUGUAGAGGUGAAAUUCGUAGAUAUUCGGAGGAACACCGGUGGCGAAGGCGGCCACCUGGUCCGGUACUGACGCUCAAGCGCGAAAGCGUGGGGAGCAAAC